AUUGAACGCUGGCGGCAGGCUUAACACAUGCAAGUCGAGCGGAGAUGAGGUGCUUGCACCUUAUCUUAGCGGCGGACGGGUGAGUAAUGCUUAGGAAUCUGCCUAUUAGUGGGGGACAACAUUCCGAAAGGAAUGCUAAUACCGCAUACGUCCUACGGGAGAAAGCAGGGGAUCUUCGGACCUUGCGCUAAUAGAUGAGCCUAAGUCGGAUUAGCUAGUUGGUGGGGUAAAGGCCUACCAAGGCGACGAUCUGUAGCGGGUCUGAGGGGAUGAUCCGCCACACUGGGACUGAGGCACGGCCCAGACGCCUACGGGAGGCAGCAGUGGGGAAUAUUGGACAAUGGGGGGAACCCUGAUCCAGCCAUGCCGCGUGUGUGAAGAAGGCCUUAUGGUUGUAAAGCACUUUAAGCGAGGAGGAGGCUACUGAGACUAAUACUCUUGGAUAGUGGACGUUACUCGCAGAAUAAGCACCGGCUAACUCUGUGCCAGCAGCCGCCGCAG
rnacentral:rRNA from 1 species